rnacentral:rRNA from 1 species
AAUAGAUACCCCGGUAGUCCACGCCGUAAACGAUGAGUGCUAAGUGUUAGAGGGUUUCCGCCCUUUAGUGCUGCAGCUAACGCAUUAAGCACUCCGCCUGGGGAGUACGGUCGCAAGACUGAAACUCAAGGGAAUUGACGGGGGCCCGCACAAGCGGUGGAGCAUGUGGUUUAAUUCGAAGCAACGCGAAGAACCUUACCAGGUCUUGACAUCCUCUGACAACUCUAGAGAUAGAGCGUUCCCCUUCGGGGGACAGAGUGACAGGUGGUGCAUGGUUGUCGUCAGUUCGUGUCGUGAGAUGUUGGGUUAAGUCCCGCAACGAGCGCAACCCUUGAUCUUAGUUGCCAGCAUUUAGUUGGGCACUCUAAGGUGACUGCCGGUGACAAACCGGAGGAAGGUGGGGAUGACGUCAAAUCAUCAUGCCCCUUAUGACCUGGGCUACACACGUGCUACAAUGGAUGGUACAAAGGGCUGCAAGACCGCGAGGUCAAGCCAAUCCCAUAAAACCCGAUUCUCAGUUCGGA